rnacentral:rRNA from 1 species
AUUGAACGCUGGCGGUAUGCUUAACACAUGCAAGUCGAACGGUAACAGGCCUUCGGGCGCUGACGAGUGGCGGACGGGUGCGUAACGCGUAGGAAUCUGCCGAUUAGUGGGGGACAACUUGGGGAAACUCAAGCUAAUACCGCAUACGCCCUACGGGGGAAAGCGGGGGACCUUCGGGCCUCGCGCUAAUCGAUGAGCCGGCGUGGGAUUAGCUAGUUGGUAGGGUAAAGGCCUACCAAGGCGACGAUCCCUAGCUGGUCUGAGAGGACGAUCAGCCACACUGGGACUGAGACACGGCCCAGACUCCUACGGGAGGCAGCAGUGGGGAAUAUUGGACAAUGGGCGCAAGCCUGAUCCAGCAAUACCGCGUGUGUGAAGAAGGCCUGAGGGUUGUAAAGCACUUUUAAUCGGGAGGAACAUCUGAUGGUUAAUACCCAUCAGUCUGACAUUACCGAUAGAAAAAGCACCGGCUAACUCCGUGCCAGCCGCCGCAGUAACAC